CGCGGCGGGCGGUUCGCGGCUUCCGCAGCCUAAUGCUGUGGGUAGCGGUGCRGGUGCGCUGCUGGGGGAUCGCUCUUACUAAAGUGAGGGUUUGAUUUGGUUGAGCUCAGGAAUAUACAUACAUACAUAUAUAUAUAUAAAAUAUAUUUUUAUAUAUAUAUAUAUGUAUAUUUAAGACUGUAUAGUGUUUAAUCAGCAUGGGUUAAGAGCCGAACUAUGUAUUUGUAUGUGUAUGUGCCCAAAUCCAGCAACAGUGCAGUUUGUGUACUUUGGCACGCUGCCAACUGUACAUUGACCAACUGCCCAUCUAAGCAUGAAUGUAUGCUUCUGCGAAAUCCGUCCUUGCGUUUCGCGGAGGCAAACUCUGAUUAACAGCAAGCAGGAGUGUUGGCUGCAUAAAGACUGAAUGCUACUAAGAAAAAUCCAAAAUGCGGGGUGCAGCAAGUUCCUCCGGGCGCACUCAGACCCAGCUGGGUCUGUACACGGCCUCUGGAUCCUCCUGCUCUGCAGUCACAUGAGGACUCGCUGGGAGUGGACCCAGACAAGCCAGGGACAGCAUCCUAGAGGACUUCACACAGGACACAUUCUCCUUCGCCCAGGUGCUCCAGGAGAGCAGGGAUCCCGGUGCCAGAGCAGCCCCAAAGGCUGGUGACUGCGGUGCUCUCCUUGGAGCACAACAUGUCUGUCCUCCUCAGGCAAAAGCAAUGGAGCUGAAGGCAAGUGCUCCACAUGCUGGGUGAGCUGUAACAAUCAAGCUAUUAAAUAAAAGGGGAGGGAAGCAUCA
rnacentral:lncRNA from 1 species